rnacentral:rRNA from 1 species
AGUCUGGUGCCAGCAGCCGCGGUAAUUCCAGCUCCAAUAGCGUAUAUUAAACUUGUUGCAGUUAAAAAGCUCGUAGUUGAAUUUCUGCGUCACCGUAUUUUGACUUUUGUCGACUGUCGGUUUCGCUUUUGGGAUUUAUCCCUUUUUACUUUGAGAAAAUUAGAGUGUUUCAAGCAGACUUUUGUCUUGAAUACUUCAGCAUGGAAUAAUAGAGUAGGACUUUGGUUCUAUUUUGUUGGUUUGUGAACCUUAGUAAUGGUUAAUAGGAACGGUUGGGGGCAUUCGUAUUUAACUGUCAGAGGUGAAAUUCUUAGAUUUGUUAAAGACGAACUACUGCGAAAGCAUUUGCCAAGGACGUUUUCAUUAAUCAAGAACGAAAGUUAGGGGAUCGAAGACGAUCAGAUACCGUCGUAGUCCUAACCAUAAACU